rnacentral:rRNA from 1 species
AACGAACGCUGGCGGCGCGCCUAAUACAUGCAAGUCGAGCGAGAAGACGUAGCAAUACGUUUGUAAAGCGGCGAACGGGUGAGGAAUACAUGGGUAACCUACCCUCGAGUGGGGAAUAACUAGCCGAAAGGUUAGCUAAUACCGCGUACGCUCCUUGGACUUCGGUUCAGGGAGGAAAGCGAUACCGUGGGUAUCGCGCUCUUGGAUGGGCUCAUGUCCUAUCAGCUUGUUGGUGAGGAACGGCUCACCAAGGCUUCGACGGGUAGCUGGUCUGAGAGGACGAUCAGCCACACUGGCACUGCGACACGGGCCAGACUCCUACGGGAGCAGCAGUAAGGAAUAUUGCGCAAGUGGGACGAAA